rnacentral:rRNA from 1 species
GAUGAACGCUAGCUACAGGCUUAACACAUGCAAGUCGAGGGGAAACGACAUUGAAAGCUUGCUUUUGGUGGGCGUCGACCGGCGCACGGGUGAGUAACGCGUAUCCAACCUGCCCACCACUUGGGGAUAACCUUGCGAAAGUAAGACUAAUACCCAAUGAUAUCCCACGAAGGCAUCCGAAUGGGAUUAAAGAUUUAUCGGUGAUGGAUGGGGAUGCGUCUGAUUAGCUUGUUGGCGGGGUAACGGCCCACCAAGGCAACGAUCAGUAGGGGUUCUGAGAGGAAGGUCCCCCACAUUGGAACUGAGACACGGUCCAAACUCCUACGGGAGGCAGCAGUGAGGAAUAUUGGUCAAUGGGCGAGAGCCUGAACCAGCCAAGUAGCGUGCAGGACGACGGCCCUAUGGGUUGUAAACUGCUUUUAUAAGGGAAUAAAGUGGGUCACGUGUGACUUUUUGCAUGUACCUUAUGAAUAAGGACCGGCUAAUUCCGUG